UGGUUGAUCUCAACCUCCUAAAGGAGGAGGUGCGGCUGUAUAGCUGUACUCCUCGCAACUUCUCAGUGUCACUGAGGGAGGAGCUGAAGCGAACUGACACCAUCUUCUGGCCAUUGUGUCUUCUGGUUAAACGUUGUGGUGGAAACUGUGCCUGUUGUCAUCAGAGUUGCAAUGAGUGCCAAUGUGUACCAACAAAAGUCACCAAAAAAUACCAUGAGGUUCUUCAGCUGAAGCCAAGGAUUGGCGUCCGGGGAUUGCAUAAAUCAUUGACAGAUGUACCCUUGGAACACCACGAGGAGUGUGACUGUGUGUGCAGAGGGAAUACUGAAGGAUAAACGUGGUCUAAUUGUGCUGUUUUCUUCCAAAGCACAUUCAAUCAAUGGCUGAUUCUAUUAUGGGGCUUGUGCAUUAUCUCCUUCUGUAAUCUCAGUUGUUUGCUUUGGGGAUCUUCCAUCUUGAAGAUUUACAGUGAGCUCUAAAAAGAGGAGAAGCCAAACUGGGAUGAUAUGUUGUGUGGCAGCUCUGUUUGGAGGCCCAGUGAAAGGAUGGGAGAAAGGCAUCAAUGAGGGAUUUAAAAUAUAUGUAUUGUUUUUGUUCCCCACAAUUUUCUUGACAAUACAUGGAUUUAUAAUUUAGGAGUAAAAAUAAAGUUAGAAGGCUCACAUCAUGGAGACUUGAUCCUGCUGGCUGUCUCGUUUCUACAGCUCCAGUACAUCUGGCCUCUGGUUGAAAACACCUGAAAUCUUUUUUUCAUUAUUCAGCUACUCCUAUGUACUCCAAAUUGAAGCGUUCUCUGUUGUAUAAACUUGGGUUAAAACAGACUGUCUUGUUCCAAAUUAAACUUAAUUUGCCUAA